rnacentral:rRNA from 1 species
AGUGAACGCUGGCGGUAGGCCUAACACAUGCAAGUCGAACGGCAGCACAGUAAGAGCUUGCUCUUACGGGUGGCGAGUGGCGGACGGGUGAGGAAUACAUCGGAAUCUACUUUUUCGUGGGGGAUAACGUAGGGAAACUUACGCUAAUAACGCAUACGACCUACGGGUGAAAGCAGAGGAUCUUCGGACCUUGCGCGAUUGAAUGAGCCGAUGUCGGAUUAGCUAGUUGGCGGGGUAAAGGCCCACCAAGGCGACGAUCCGUAGCUGGUCUGAGAGGAUGAUCAGCCACACUGGAACUGAGACACGGUCCAGACUCCUACGGGAGGCAGCAGUGGGGAAUAUUGGACAAUGGGCGCAAGCCUGAUCCAGCCAUACCGCGUGGGUGAAGAAGGCCUUCGGGUUGUAAAGCCCUUUUGUUGGGAAAGAAAAGCAGCAGGUUAAUACCACGCUGUUCUGACGGUACCCAAAGAAUAAGCACCGGCUAACUUCGUG